GGUUUAAUACUGCUAAAUUUUAUAAAAUAUUUAUGAGUUCCUUUUUCUUAUUCAUUAUAUUCCAAAGUAUUUAUAUUAUUCUACGCAUACAUGCAUAUAACAUUUCUAACCGAAUCGUAUAUAUUCAUUUAAAACCUAGAGCAGUUGCAACCAUGAAAAGAAUUAGAAAAUAAAAUGGAAUGCAGAAUUGGGUAGCACAAGCGGCAGGGUCCGUCCGUUUUUCCUCGUCGUCUCCCACACCAAUAAUGAACCGGAUUGGGUAACAGCUGGGUCCGUGUGUGAACUGGCACUUACUAGGUCGACGACUUAUGGAGAAAUCUGUUACACCUAUCAUUUCUUCAAUCAAUCGCCGCCAUCUAUUGAAAUCGAUUUGCUAAGUUCGAUAAAUAGUCGGUUUUACUCGUACUUUGAUUUUGCUCCCACAAGAACACGCUUUUUGUUCUUAUUCGAAAGAUUUUGCCGCUACGUAAUUCGGCCUUACUCUCCGUUUCAUAUGAAUACAUGUACAUUAUGUUACUUAUAAUGUACACACUUGUAACCGCGGAUAUAGGAACCAACGCAAAAAGAAUUUCUGCGCAAAACAACCUUGGUACAGCCCGGCGUUUGACCGACCAGGGUUAUUUUUUUGAAGCGCGGGGGAAGGCCGC